rnacentral:rRNA from 1 species
CCUACGGGGGGCUGCAGUGGGGAAUUUUGGACAAUGGGCGAAAGCCUGAUCCAGCCAUGCCGCGUGUGGGAAGAAGGCCUUCGGGUUGUAAACCACUUUUGUCGGGAACGAAACGGUCUGUGAUAACACCAUGGGCUAAUGACGGUACCCGAAGAAUAAGCACCGGCUAACUACGUGCCAGCAGCCGCGGUAAUACGUAGGGUACAAGCGUUAAUCGGAAUUACUGGGGGUGGUGCGGGCGCAGAGAGGUGAAAUCCCCGGGCUUAACCUGGGAACUGCAUUUGUGACUGCAUAGCUUGAGUACGGUAGAGGGGGGUAGAAUUCCACGUGUAGCAGUGAAAUGCGUAGAGAUGUGGAGGAAUACCGAUGGCGAAGGCAGCCCCCUGGACCGUAACUGACGCUCAUGCACGAAAGCGUGGGGAGCAAACAGGAUUAGAUACCCCGGUAGUC